GACGAACGCUGGCGGCGUGCUUAACACAUGCAAGUCGAACGGAAAGGCCCUGCUUGCAGGGUACUCGAGAGGGCAACGGGUGGGUAAGCGGAGGGUGGACUGACCUGUACUUAGGGAUACGCAUGGGAAACUGGAACUGAUAGCGACUAGGGGCCAUACCGCGUGAGACGGCAGGAACGCAUUUUCGGUGUUGGAAGAGUCCGCGGCCGAGCGGUGUGUUGGUGGGGUAUUGGCCUACCAAGGCGGCAACGGGGAGCCGGCCUGAGGGGGUGGACGGCAACAGUGAGACUGGGAUACGGCCCAGACGCCUACGGGAGGCAGCAGUGGGGGAGGUUGCACAAGGGGCGCGAGCCUGAUGCAGCGACGCCGCGUGGGGGAUGACGGCCUUGUGGUUGGAAACGCCUUGCGCUAGGGACGGAGCUUUUUGUGACGGUACCUAGAUAAGAAGCACCGGCUAACUACGUG
rnacentral:rRNA from 1 species